GUGAGGAAUUUUGCGCAAUGGCCGCAAGGCUGACGCAGCAACGCCGCGUGAAGGAAGAAGGCUUUCGGGUUGUAAACUUCUUUUACCAGGGACGAAACAAAUGACGGUACCUGGUGAAUAAGCCACGGCUAACUACGUGCCAGCAGCCGCGGUAAUACGUAGGUGGCGAGCGUUAUCCGGAUUUAUUGGGUGUAAAGGGCGUGUAGGCGGGACAGCAAGUCAGAUGUGAAAACCAGAGGCUCAACCUCUGGCCUGCAUUUGAAACUGUUGUUCUUGAGUGUCGGAGAGGUAAUCGGAAUUCCGUGUGUAGCGGUGAAAUGCGUAGAUAUACGGAGGAACACCAGUGGCGAAGGCGGAUUACUGGACGAUAACUGACGCUGAGGCGCGAAAGCGUGGGGAGCAAACAGGAUUAGAAACCCUGGUAGUCC
rnacentral:rRNA from 1 species